UACGUAGGGGGCGAGCGUUGUCCGGAGUUACUGGGCGUAAAGCGCACGCAGGCGGUCUGCUAAGUUUGGAGUGACAGUUGGUGGCUUAACUGCCAAGGUGCUUCGAAAACUGACAGACUUGAGGGCUUCAGAGGGACACGGAAUUCCGGGUGGAGUGGUGAAAUGCGUAGAGAUCCGGAGGAACACCAAAGGCAAAGGCAGUGUCCUGGGGAGUACCUGACGCUCAGGUGCGAAAGCCAGGGGAGCGAACGGG
rnacentral:rRNA from 1 species